rnacentral:rRNA from 1 species
UGUGUCGGUAAUUACUUCCUACAAAUUUAGAUUGAGUAAGGAGGCCAUUCAGAUUAUUCUCUCUCCUGGGGAAUGAUUGAAUGAAGACAGUCAUGCUGUUCGCCUUGUAGUGAAAGGUAAUGACUAGCAGAGGCAGACGGGGGCAUUAAUAACACAACGCUAGAUCAAUUAGAUUGCCGCCCCAUCAAUUGUUGACGGUAAGGUAGUGGCUUACCGUGGUUACAACGGGUAACGGGGAAUCAGGGUUCGAUUCCGGAGAGGGAGCAUGAGAAAUGGCUGCCAGAUCUAUGGAUUGCAGCAGGUGCGAAAAUUAUCCACUUUUGGCAUAAAGAGAUAGUGAUGAUAAAUAACGGAUCUGGGCAUUUGUUCAGAGAUCGUAAUGAAAUAAUCGUAAAAGCUUUAAUGAACGCAAUUGGAGGGCAAGUCUGGUGCCAGCAGCCGCGGCAAUUCCAGUUCCAAUAGUGUAUACUAAAGUUGCUGCAGUUGAAAAGCUCGUAGUUGGAUCUCGGCUUGCUAGCGCGCGAGGCGUGUGAGUAGGCCUUUGCUGUAGUUGAGUGCUACGGCUUUACCUUGAACAAAAUAGAGUGCUUAAGGCAAGCAUUCUGCUUGAAUAUCUCAGCAUGGAAUAAUAGAAAAAGACUUUUCUGUUGGUUUACCAGUAGUAAAAGUAAUGAUUAACAGAGACAGACGGGGGCAUUCGUAUCGCACCGCUAGAGGUGAAAUUCGUAGAUCGGUGCGGGACGAACUACAGCGAAAGCAUUUGCCAAGGAUGUUUUCAUUAAUCAAGAACGAAAGUUGGAGUAUCGAAGUCGAUUAGAUCUCGUCGUAGUUCCAACUAUAAACGAUGCCAACUAGCACUCCGCUAAUAAGUAUUAGUACGUUAGCGGGUUGCUUCCGGGAAACCAAAGUCUUUGGGCUCCGGGGGAAGUAUGGUUGCAAAGCUGAAACUUAAAGGAAUUGACGGAAGGGCACCACCAGGAGUGGAGCCUGCGGCUCAAUUUGACUCAACACAGAAAAACUCACCCGGGCCGAACACAGUAAGGAUUGACAGACUGAUAGCUUUUUCUUGAUACUGUGGGUAGUGGUGCAUGGCCGUUGUUGGUUGGUGGAGUGAUCUGUCUGGUUAAUUCCGAUAACGAACGAGACUCAGGCCUACUUACUAGUUGUUCGAUUGCUGGUCGAUCAACUUCUUAGAGGGAUCAGUGUUU